rnacentral:rRNA from 1 species
ACUGUGAUUCCCUUAGUAACUGCGAGUGAAGCGGGAUAAGCCCAUCGUUUAAUCUUCCCGGACCAUGGACGGGACGAAAUGUAACGGUAUGGAUAGGUUCUCUACCAACAAGGUCUGAUCAAAGUCCUCCGGAUUGAGGUGCCAAAGAGGGUGACAGCCCCGUGURUGAUUGGACUGAGUUGGGUAUGUGGCCGAUUCCGAGAGUCGGGUUGUUUGGGACUGCAACCUAAAGUAGGUGGUAAACUCCACCCAAGGCUAAAUAUUGACACGAAACCGAUAGCGAACAAGUACUGUGAAGGAAAGUUGAAAAGAACUCUGAAAAGAGAGUUAAAAGUACGUGAAACCGCUAACGGGGAAGCGGAAGGCAGUGUCGAGAUCGAGUGAGUGAGUCUGUUUAAGCUUUAUAAAUUAAUGUUUAAGUGGGCUAGCUUUGCUUGAUGCGUCAGGACUAUUGGUGCGCGACGGUUCAAUCGUGAGCAUGGCUUUCACGGCGAAUAAUUUAUUAGGGUUCGUGGAUGCGGCUGGCGAUCCGCCUCGUGUGCUGAUAUGUGUAGUGGAGAGCGUUGGUGAUGUAUUGUCGGUUGGUGCGGUGUGGUGGUUCGUUCUGGUCACAGUGUGGCUACGUGCGGACAAGUCAUGUGGUAGUUCAACAACCAAUGCUAGCUCCUGGCGUGAUACCCAACUUUC